CCAGAAUGUGGUAACAAAUGGGAUGUAUUUUCCUUCACCCUUAUUCUCUUCCUUCAUAAACCUUUGUAAUAGGAGGUUGUAUCCUAACAUGAGGUCUUCGGUUUACCUUUAGGGUGACCCAGAUAUCAAAUUUUAGUUUUCUAACGUUAGGUGGUUUGAGAUUUUCCGUUUAAGUAUUUUGCACAGGUUGCCUUUGAGGUUUCCUUUUU
rnacentral:sRNA from 1 species